rnacentral:rRNA from 1 species
CUGACUGCUAUCGGAUUGAUACUAAGCCAUGCGAGUCAUUGUAGCAAUACAAGGCAGACGGCUCAGUAACGCGUAGUCAACCUAACCUAUGGACGGGAAUAACCUCGGGAAACUGAGAAUAAUGCCCGAUAGAACACUAUACCUGGAAUGGUUUGUGUUCCAAAUGAUUUAUCGCCGUAGGAUGGGACUGCGGCCUAUCAGUUUGUUGGUGAGGUAAUGGCCCACCAAGACUACUACAGGUACGGGCUCUGAGAGGAGUAGCCCGGAGAUGGGUACUGAGACACGGACCCAGGCCCUAUGGGGCGCAGCAGGCGAGAAAACUUUGCAAUGUGCGAAAGCACGACAAGGUUAAUCCGAGUGAUUUGUGCUAAACGAAUCUUUUGUUAGUCCUAGAACCACUAACGAAUAAGGGGUGGGCAAGUUCUGGUGUCAGCCGCCGCGGUAAAACCAGCACCUCAAGUGGUCAGGAUGAUUAUUGGGCCUAAAGCAUCCGUAGCCGGCUCUGUAAGUUUUCGGUUAAAUCUGUACGCUUAACGUACAGGCUGCCGGGAAUACUGCAGAGCUAGGGAGUGGGAGAGGUAGACGGUACUCGGUAGGAAGGGGUAAAAUCCUUUGAUCUAUUGAUGACCACCUGUGGCGAAGGCGGUCUACCAGAACACGUCCGACGGUGAGGGAUGAAAGCUGGGGGAGCAAACCGGAUUAGAUACCCGGGUAGUCCCAGCUGUAAACUAUGCAAACUCAGUGAUGCAUUGACUUGUGGUCAAUGCAGUGCUGCAGGGAAGCCGUUAAGUUUGCCGCCUGGGAAGUACGUACGCAAGUAUGAAACUUAAAGGAAUUGGCGGGGGAGCACCACAAGGGGUGAAGCCAGCGGUUCAAUUGGAGUCAACGCCGGA